rnacentral:rRNA from 1 species
CUGGAUAAGAUUAAAUGUAUUUAGUACAGGCUUAAAGCUGAAGGACCUCCUGUUAAGGGGAGGUCCUAAAAGUAUAACUUUAAAAUAAUCUAUUUAGGAUAAUUCUGUAAUAAUUUAUUAAAAACGAAGAUUUUUUUUUUCAGGUUUCUUAAAUUUACUCUAGAAAAUUUUAAAUUUACCAAAUUUUUCAUAAUGUUAAAAUAAGUAUUAUUAAUAAUUUAAAUAUAGGAACUCGGCAAAAAAUUUCUCAACUGUUUAUCAAAAACAUAGUUUUAUGAAGUAGUAUAAAAUGAAUUCUGCCCAAUGAUUUAUUUAAUGGCCGCAGUACUUUAACUGUGCUAAGGUAGCAUAAUAAUUUGGCUUUUAAUUAAGGUCUGGUAUGAAAGGAUUUUUGGGUAAUAACUGUCUUUAUUUAAUUUCUAAAAAUUUACUUAAAAGGUGAAAAUUCCUUUAAUUUUAAAAUAGACGAGAAGACCCUAGGAGUUUUUGUUUUGUUGGGGCGACAUUUUAGUAAAUAACCUAAAUAAAAAAUUUAACGGUUAUAUCAAUUAUAGAUA